CAUCUAUCUAGAACAGCGACGGGGUAGGCUCCACGGGUUUCCACGGGGAAGGAGCAGCGACGGGGUAGGCUCCAGGCGGCGCACACUUCAUGGGGAGGCAAGGAACCAGAAGUUGAUGGGGUCGGAUCUGGCGGUGGUAGGUCGAAGCUCGAUCCCGAGGCCGAGACGGGGAAGGUCAAAAAAUAGAGAGACCCGAUGGAGGUGGUCGAGGCAGAGGACUGCCAGUCGGCGAGCUCGAGCUUGAGACGCACAAUUAGCGUCACCGGCCAUUGUAUGGGUUGGAGCAGGAAGCAGCGCUCCCGUCGCUAUGUGGUGGAGCUGCGCAGGAUGGGGAGCAGGCUGGCGACAGGGAUUGGUUCUUCAGUUCAUUUGCUGCAGGACUGAAUGUUCUAUGGGUUGGAGCAGAGGGUGUUGAGCAGCAUCUGAGAUUGGGUGAGUGCUCAGGUUCUAUAACUGACUCUUCUUCGAGUAUGGCUGUAGUAAUUCAAAGAAAAACAAAUAGCAUGCAGAUUUGCUUGUUUCAUCUAAAUCAAGGAAUUUUAUAAUGUGCAAAUCAACAUCAUACAGUAUACAACAGCGAACGGAGAUACUAACCACACGAUCUCAUUACGUGUUGCACGCGAGAUCGCAGGGUGCAGCUUGAUAGCGCCGGCAUGGAUGCGUGUUAACCAUAGCGUUGACGGCAAUCUCCCCCCUCCCGAACUGCCCUAGGCGCAGCAGCGACGGCGCAGCCACGAUUGCUGGAAGUCUCCUCCACGUUCGAUCUCGAUAAACUGACUGUCAUUCCCCACGCCACUCUCGCAUGGUUCAAUGGAAUUUAAAUUUCGAGUGCUACAAUCAACCCGUUUGCCUGUUUGCACAUCUGUAUUUCGGUUAUAAAAAUUGACUCGUCCUUUUAGUUCGUUAUUACUCAAGUCACUGCAGCACUGACCUUCUAUUAGGUAUACACACACCAAAAUUUCCAUGCCACUAGAAAUAUUUGCAUUCGUUUAAUGGGUCGAGUCACACAGAAGGUUGAACUUUCAAUGCUUUUUACUCAGCAUAAACGUAUUUUCUGUAGUCGAAGACUUUUGACAAUGCGUGGAAUCUGGCAAAUCGUUUUCAGUUUUGAGUUCAUCUGAGUCAGGCUCUGUAUCAAAUUUUCUUCAGUGUAGCAUUCAUUUGAGUUGGAUUUUGUAUUGGUUUAUAUUUUGUGGUAGAAUAUCCCAUAUCGUGUACUCUGGGACCAGGUCUAUUUCAACACACACGAACCCAUUGACCUCCCAUGUUCCUGGGGAGCGUUGCAUGUCGGAAAAGUUAGGGGUUGCGUCACACAAAGUUCUGCAUUGACACUUAGAAAGUAAGUGAAGUGAUAUGCAAUUUGCUGAGGCUAUCUACAAUCCUGUUAAAAAGCAACUGCUAAACACUGAAGGGCAAUGGAACUCAAUUUGUGGAUAUUCGCAGUUUGAUAAAUUAUAUUAGUGGUAUUUCUUGGAUUUAUAUAAGGAAAACUAAAAUAGCUACCUUUGUGUGAAUUACAGUGCUAAUGAUCAGUUCUUUGUCUCAGGCAUGAAUGUACAGAUUCAAGAUUUUCUUUCACCUGGGCUUGGUCAGUUGGCCACUUCAAUUCCCACUUCCUGUCAUGUGAUCUUGAUGUGGAUACUUCGACAUUACAUACAAAAUAUGAUGCAUUCUGUAGAAGUUACUAAUGGUCAAAAUUUUACUGAAUCCGUCACUUGCUUACUCCUAUUCACAUUUCAGCCUCCUUGCAUGGUAGAGCAUAGCAUGGUUCCUGAUGUUCCAUUCUAACUACCUAAUAUUUUUAGGACACUGGUGUUAAUUUGGUUUUUUUGGGAAAUGGAAUGCCUAAGAUGCACUGUCCUUUUGUUCCAAAAAUAACCGCAAAAUCAUUGACACAUUGUUGUGUGUUUUAUGACAUCUGUUGUUUAUAUCUUCAAGUGACUAACUUCAAGUUGAAGUCGAGAUUGCUUACUGAUCACAUGCUUCAGGCAGUAGUAAUUACAAUCUUUAUCUCUGUUUGAGAAGCAAAGAUGAAUUAUUUUGAACUUCGGAUUAGUUGAGUUAGGAGCUAUAUGUACCAGUUUUGUCUGAUCAACCACGAGUUCUAUUGUAAUCCUUUCUGAUACAUUUUUUAGAUUUUUGUAUCCAGCUGAAUCUUUGUGUUCCGCCGUGGCCGUGAUAUCUCAUGCGUUAUCAUCUAGCUGAAUCUUUAUUUACAAUGUCGUGAUAUCUCAUGCGUUAUCAUUCAUUCAUUCUUAUUUUAGGUGAUGCGUUGACCUGAACGGCAUGGUGGUAAGGCAUCAUAAUAGGUGCUGCUAUUGGCCAGAAUGGCGCCGUGGUAAGGCAUUCUAAGGUUCCAUAUGAUUAGUGUUUGGGUGACUGCUGUUGAUUCCUACACCGAGUUGUGUUGCUGUACAAAUAGCCUCUCUUGUUGGUGGUGCCACGGCGUCCCUUCUAGGUUCAGCAGCGGGCAAUGCUAAAGACAGAGUUGGGUGCACAUCAUAUAUAUACAUAUGUUGUCGCGUCUUAAUAAAGGGAGAUGAGCAGAAGUAGAGAUGAGAUAUCUAUCCGACUGUCAUCGUUCCCAGACUUGGGGCACCAUAACUCUAACCCGACAUGAGCAGUGCAACCACGGCAGUGAGCAGUGGAAUCGCAAGAUAGAGAUAGACACAAGUAGAAUAUAACUGGUCAUAUUUCUACAAUGACCACACUACUUAUGGUGCCGGAAGAGAAGGCAUCAGUGAUAGUGGGCUUGGUGAUGAGGGCAUCAAUACAAAGAGAUUAAUUCACAACUCUGUUCUUGAUAGGUUGUACAAAUAUACAAGGCCAGUUUUACAUUUACUUUUUCAAUAAUGAGAUGGCCAUGAACAGAGAUCAAGUUUUUUGCCUUGGCAUUACUGCUGUUGUGUACAGAUGGUUACUAAAAGAAGGAUUCAUAGCGGCAUACCUUCACUCGACAGAUGCUUUAACCGCAAGAACUGUUGUUAAUUUUUUCCCCUUUCCUCCAAUGAUGGUAGUUCUCCUUUGAUUCUAGAAGCCACAAAGGAGUGAAGGGUAGAGUUGUUGAAUUGGCGAUAUGUCCACAUCAUGUCCACAUCGUUGUUGAAUUGGUGGGAUUGUCACCAAGUUAGUGUUGCAGAUUGUUUCUAUUUUAGAGCAAGAAGCCAAAUCAUGUUGUUCAUUGUAAAUUUUGAAAAACCUGUUGUGUAUUGUCACUUCUAUAUCUAUUAUAAACUUACGUUCCUGGUGUGGUACU